rnacentral:rRNA from 2 species
GCGAAUGGCUCAUUAUAUAAGUUAUCGUUUAUUUGAUAGUACCUUACUACUUGGAUAACCGUGGUAAUUCUAGAGCUAAUACAUGCUAAAAAUCCCGACUUCGGAAGGGAUGUAUUUAUUAGAUUAAAAACCAAUGCCCUCUGGGCUCUCUGGUGAUUCAUGAUAACUUCUCGAAUCGCAUGGCCUUGCGCCGGCGAUGGUUCAUUCAAAUUUCUUCCCUAUCAACUUUCGAUGUUUGGGUAGUGGCCAAACAUGGUUGCAACGGGUAACGGAGGGUUAGGGCUCGACCCCGGAGAAGGAGCCUGAGAAACGGCUACUACAUCCAAGGAAGGCAGCAGGCGCGCAAAUUACCCAAUCCCGAUUCGGGGAGGUAGUGACAAUAAAUACUGAUACAGGGCUCUUUUGGGUCUUGUAAUUGGAAUGAGUACAAUUUAAAUCCCUUAACGAGGAACAAUUGGAGGGCAAGUCUGGUGCCAGCAGCCGCGGUAAUUCCAGCUCCAAUAGCGUAUAUUAAAGUUGUUGUGGUUAAAAAGCUCGUAGUUGAACCUUGGGCCUGGCUGGCCGGUCCGCCUCACCGCGUGUACUGGUCCGGCCGG